GACGAACGCUGGCGGCGUGCUUAACACAUGCAAGUCGAACGGAAAGGCCCUGCUCUUGUGGGGUGCUCGAGUGGCGAACGGGUGAGUAACACGUGAGUAACCUGCCCUUGACUUUGGGAUAACUUCAGGAAACUGGGGCUAAUACCGGAUAGGAGCUCCUGCUGCAUGGUGGGGGUUGGAAAGUUUCGGCGGUUGGGGAUGGACUCGCGGCUUAUCAGCUUGUUGGUGGGGUAGUGGCUUACCAAGGCUUUGACGGGUAGCCGGCCUGAGAGGGUGACCGGCCACAUUGGGACUGAGAUACGGCCCAGACUCCUACGGGAGGCAGCAGUGGGGAAUAUUGCACAAUGGGCGGGAGCCUGAUGCAGCAACGCCGCGUGCGGGAUGACGGCCUUCGGGUUGUAAACCGCUUUCGCCUGUGACGAAGCGUGAGUGACGGUAAUGGGUAAAGAAGCACCGGCUAACUACGUG
rnacentral:rRNA from 1 species